ensembl:misc_RNA 7SK 7SK RNA
GAACUGGGCGAUCUGGCUGCGACAUGUCACCCGCAUUGAUAGCCAGGGUUGAUUCGGCUGAUCUGGGUGGAUAGACGGGUGUUCCCUUCCUCCCGCACCGAUCCAUAUGUGUCUCUCCUGAAACUGCACUUUUGCUGGAAGAGGAUGAUCUUCCCCGAACAGAGGAGGACUGCUCUUUGGUCAAGGGUACGGGGAGUAGCUGCGCUCCCCUGCUAAACCUCCAAACAAGCUCUCAAAAGCUGAGUUGGGAGAUUCCUUUGUUCAUUUAUAUGGAUGACCUUGU